rnacentral:rRNA from 1 species
UAGGGAAUCUUCCACAAUGGACGAAAGUUUGAUGGAGCAACGCCGCGUGAGUGAAGAAGGGUUUCGGCUCGUAAAGCUCUGUUGGUAGUGAAGAAAGAUAGAGGUAGUAACUGGCCUUUAUUUGACGGUAAUUACUUAGAAAGUCACGGCUAACUACGUGCC